rnacentral:rRNA from 1 species
CACGUAGGGUGCGAGCGUUGUCCGGAAUUAUUGGGCGUAAAGAGCUCGUAGGCGGUGUGUCGCGUCGGCCGUGAAAACCUGCAGCUUAACUGUGGGCUUGCGGUCGAUACGGGCAUCACUGGAGUUCGGCAGGGGAGACUGGAAUUCCUGGUGUAGCGGUGAAAUGCGCAGAUAUCAGGAGGAACACCGGUGGCGAAGGCAGGUCUCUGGGCAUUAACUGACGCUGAGGAGCGAAAGCAUGGGGAGCGAACAGG